UACGUAGGGAGCGAGCGUUGUCCGGAAUCAUUGGGCGUAAAGCGCGCGUAGGUGGCUUCGUAAGUCCGCUGUGAAAGUCAAAGGCUCAACCUUUGAAAGCCGGUGGAUACUGUGGAGCUAGAGUCCGGAAGAGGCGAGUGGAAUUCCUGGUGUAGCGGUGGAAUGCGCAGGAUCAGGAGGAACACCAAUAGCGAAGGCAGCUCGCUGGGACGGUACUGACACUAAGGCGCGAAAGCGUGGGGAGCGAACAGG
rnacentral:rRNA from 1 species